GAUGGAAAAGCGCUCAGAAGCAGAUGACUGUAGUGAGGCAUAAGAAGACGCCCCACCUGCCUUCCCGCGGGGACAAGGGGCAGCAUUCCCUGUAGCACACAGGGCAGGAGGUGAGCUGCACGGUGUUUUCCUGAGCUGGAAAGGCGGUUCCCGCAGACCGCUGCCCCGGGAGCACAAGGACUGCUGGAGAGGCCGGGCGUCUGGAGGAGGGGCUGCCCUGCCUCCCGGAAGCGGACCUUGCUCCCCACCCCACCCCCGAGGGCUGGCUCUGGGCAGGCGCACUAUGCCUUACCUUGUUGGGGUUUCAGGCCUAUGGGUCACCAGAGAAUAUUUAAGACAGGAUGCAAGUCCACAGACUCCAGCUGAGCCUCAUGAUUCUGUGUGGACAGCAGUGCAGUCUUGAGAAGACCUGUCCUUUGGCCAUCGUCACGGUUACAGUGAAUGGUGACGCUCAGCGCCCUCCAAAGGAAGGCAGCUCAUAAAAACAUGAGGCGGUGUCCUCCUCCGCCUUACUCACCAGAGCCGGCGCCAAUCGACUUCUGGCUCUUCCUCCAAAGUCAAAAUGACCAUAAAAGGGAGACCUUCUGGAUCCAUUCGGGACAUCCAGGCAGCCACAACAGUGCAACUGAAGAGCCUCGGGAAGGGGGACUCCCGGAGCUGCUGCAGACAGUGGCGAGCACCAAGGGAGGAGUGUGUUCCAAGUGAGGGGAGGAUUUUGAGGGGGAUUCACAGCCGCAUGUCUUUUACUGCAGUAAAUUUCUUAAAACUUGGAAACACUGACCACAGUUUCUGAUCCCACCUUGUAUGCGCUGUGUCUUUUGCACACUUCUCUUUGGAGGCCGAAUCCUCCGCCUCUUUGUACAUGGUUCGUCCUUACUCCUGGCUGCACGCUGCGCUCCUCUGGCCUUUGUGCUCUCUGUUUACCCGUCUGCUGCCGAUGGACAGUUGCAUCUUUCCCAUGCUGGACUUGAGGAUGCCACGCAGCUCCAGCUGCGGGGACCACGUGCCUGGCCUUGGACAGGACGGCCCAUAUCGGGGGCCUCUUCUCCAUCAUUGUCCUUGUCGCCGGCACACAAGACCCACGGCCCACAACUUAGAGGAGGCUCGCGGUUGCAGAAGUUUCACCCGGCAGUUGGGGCUCACGCACAGAAGCAGCCCGACAGAGUGGCCUGCCGUGGGGACAGCUGCCUGGCCACAGGGCCAGGAAGCAGAGAAAAAAGGGAGGUAUGGGGACAGAGACGUGUCCAGCUCCCCGGGGUCCCACAUCCUGACAGCGGGUCAGCUUGCCAUCCGUCACCCUCCAGAGCCCUGCUGCUGACACAGGCCAUGCAGGAUGCCUAGAUCCAGCCACCCGGCUCUCCAGAGAAGAUGGUGCUGUUUGUCCGCUGGCUCCCCCUCCCCAGACUGGUGCUGCCCGUUACUGAGUGAUCCUCUGACACAGCGUCACUUCGUCUUACCUGCAGGGGUGUUUGCACGCAGGGGAUGGUGGUGCUACGUGUGUGUGGGUCGUCCUGUGUGUCAAAUAAGUGUUCACAGAGAAGUCAGAACCGAUGUUGCUAAGGAGUGCGUAGCUCUGCUAUGAAUAUAA